CUCCGGAAAGCGCCGCCAACUGCACGGGUGCUCUCUUGCCCGGCGCGGCUAAAACGGGCUUGCUCAGAGGGGCCGGAGCUGCUGUUUUGCCGAGUGAAAAUACUUUCUGUAAGUGAUGAAAAAAUUUCCCACUUUAUUCGGUUGUUGGCUGGGGCCCAGUGCAUUGAAGUCCCAGAGUUCUUCGGGGAGGAGCCAGGAGGUUUACUGCAUCCUCCGACCUGUGUUUCGCGGGGAGAAGAGUUAAGAAGCCUGAGCAUUCUAACGCAGCUGGCGGAGCUUGAGAAAGUGACAAAGGCAGAGCUCGUGUGCGUGGCUCGGGGACGAUGCCCCGCCUCUGAGCCGGGGACCAGAAAUGUGUCCAUUAAGGGACUGGUAAUGGCUGGGUUUAGCCUGGGACGGUUCCCCCAAGGAGGCGAUUUGAGAGGAGGCUGUAGGUGCCCGGCCUGGGGCUGGAAGAGCAGUCCGGGAAGGGCCCAGGGGGCGUGGAGGGCGCUCCCACCGGCCACCUGGGGACAGGAGGCAGCAAAGGCGCCAGCAGCCCUCACAGAUUCCCGGGGCUGUGAACUGCGCAGGGCCUGUGGCUCCUGGUCCCAGCUACAGACAGCCAAUAAAAGAUAGACGCAGGGUACCCCUUCCCUCCCCCCCCUCCCUCGCCCCCGGAGCCAAUGGAAACCUACCCGCCGGCGGACGAAUUGCCACCCGCCUGCCUGCGGAGGAAACGUUUUAGGACACCUGGCCAAGAGGCUUCCCUUGGGGGUUGCCUUUCCAGGAGCCCAGGACAGGUGUGUAUGAAGGACCAAAAUACCAGGAGCGUGUUCAAUUAGUCAUUCUUUUGGAUCAGAGCGCCUGCUGCUUGUAAAGCCACACACACGCCAUUACAAACUGUGAGGGGGCAAAGAGCAAAGGCAAGAGGGCAGAGGGGAAGAAACGUGCUUCCUGCCCUGAGCAUCUUAGAGGGGUCUUUCCACCUGUUGUAUGUCCUGCAGCAUGUUCCCUGCUGUAAAGGUUAGCGUCUUGUAUUUGUGUAAUGCUUCACAGUUUCAAACUGUAUGAUUUAUCUGGUAAUCACUGUAACCUAUAAGACAGGUAUUAUUACUCAUGUUUAACCGGCAGAGGAAGUGAUGCUCAGAUUAGCUAAACCCUACACCCAAAGUGAUACUGCCGUUAGUGAUGGCUGUGGGACUAGUACUCAGUGUUGUGGCUGCAAAUCCAGGGCUCUUUAAAUACAUCAAAGGAAGGAAAGCAGGCCUGUUUUAUGAUUCUGGCGCCCAGGACACACCCAACAAUUAGAAUGAAAUCCAGAAGGACUAGGUUAAUUUCUUAGUCAUUGCUCUUUCAGAUCGUCCCCUUGCAACACAGGUGAGCGCCAGUAUUAUACACCUGUGUGUGAAGAAGGGGUUCCAUUGACUCGCUGCCAGGAAAGCCAGUCCUGGAGGUAAGAACAGAACGGGGGGAUGAACACGGGUCACCAGCUGUGGCUCCCUUCCUUAUCCACACUUAAUAGUGCCUGAGAAUGAGCAGAAGGACAGCUCCAUUCACCAGAGCCCAAAAGGGAACGAAAACCACUGAUGGUAGGAAAAUGCUGUGUCGUGUGUAAGACCUUGGAGGAAUAUAGGGUAGGGAACUGAGAAUGGGUGGGAACUUUUUUUCACUAAAAUAAAAUGAAAGAGUCAGUACUCUAAACCGAGAUAAGGUCAGUGGCUUACAUUUACAUGACUUCUAUUCUGAUCAAUGGACCAUGUUUGCUUCAUUUCCUUACUCUCUAGACGUGCCCUGUUCCUACAGUGGCCACUAGCCGUGUGUGCAUGCUGAGCCCUGAAAUGUGGCUAGUCCAAAUCGAAAUGUGCUGUCCAUGUAAGAUUUGAAAGAUUUGAAAGACUUGGGAAAAAGGACACAGCUGUCCCAUCCUGGGCAGGACAGCCGCUGGUCCAUGAGAUGGCUUUAUGCAAACUGAGAAAAAGAAAUCCCUCUGACUGAUGCAGCCUGGCACCCAAGGCCAUGCAAAAUGACUGCAAUUUGCAUGUACUGAAGUGAAAUUCUCAUUUGGUACCUGGAAGGGCAUCCAAGCAUAACAGAAUGUGGCAUCGGGUCAGUAUGCGGUGGGGGAGGGAUUUCUGUCCUGUGCGCUUACUAAAGCUCAAGAAAGACAGUGGGAACCUAGAAAAAGGGCCAGCCAAAGUCGUCAAGGAAAUAGGGAAGCUAUCAUAAAAAUACAGAGUAAUAUGUUGAGGGUUCUUCCAUCUGGAAAGAUAGAAGCCAAGAAGGAAUCACAUCUGUUUGAUCAUGAAUGUUAGGUGAGGCUGGUCACGAACGCAUUCACCAAAUCCUGAACUAGACCAGGGUGCCCUGCUUAAAAGCUUGAGAGAAUUCUGUUUAGGAAGAAUAAAAGAAAAUCUGACUUCACUCCAUGGGUGGUAAGCUCAUGGAACUCAUUACCCCAAGCAGGCAUCAGGCGGGAGAUAAAAAUGCCCAGUAACCAAGACUGCUGUUGACAGAUUUUAAUGACUUACAAGAGGAAUGAGGAUGCCUUGGGAUAUCAGGAUGUGCUCUUAGAAGUGGCUGACAGGAAGCGUAACUUCACAUUGCUUCCCUGCAUAUCCCCGGAAGGGACAGAGUUCCGAGCAGGAAAGAUCACGAGUCAUGGCCAUAGGCCACCCAUGUCUUGGGAGGUCUGGAAGAUUCCCUUGCUCAGGGGAAGGGGGCCUCAUCGAUCAAAGAGUGACUUUCCCAACUUGGGUUCCUCUAGGCCAGCUACAAUCUGUCACUGGGAAUCUGGAAGUCAUUAAGAUGAUAAAAUGAUGUUCGUGGAAACAUUACAUAAAUGCCUACUCAGUGGAAACUCACCUGUUGUCAUUGUAAUAGCUAAUGUAUAUUAUGUGCCAUGUGCUGCUGUAAGUACUGAUUUAAUCCUUAUAACAACCCUGUAAUAUGGGUACUAUCAUAUCAUCAUCCUAUUUGACAGGUGGGAAAACUGAUUCACAGAGAAAUAACUUUUUCAAGGUCCCACAGCUCAUAAGUGAUCCAGGAUUCAAACUCGGGCUAACUGUGGAGUAUAUCAUUUCCCCCAUGAAACCGGGGUUAAGGCCACCCCUACAAUCCUACUAAGGAAGACCCUGCUCAGCUCCAGUCAAGUGUUUCCAUGAAGGAAUGCAGGCCCAUCGUGCCCAUAUAGAUUUUUUUCAAGGAAAGUCAUACGAGUCAACACUUGGUUCUGGAUCGAACAAAUCCAGCUAAAUCUAGCCUGAAGUCAUCUGGCUCCUGACUUCUGCUCUGCCCGCACCACCUCUCCAGCAACAUGUCUCACAGACAAGACGCUUGACCCAAGUUCCUAGGCAUGUGCUCUGAUCGGUGGGACAGACUCACGGGGCUGGGGUGCUUCUGUGACUGGGGGGGUCUGUCCCCACUGGAACAGAUUUUGUGUCCCUGCCACUCAGCAAUGUCCAGUAAUCUCUCUGCUCCCUUGCAGUUCCAGGACCCACUGGAAACUAUGAAUGCCAUCACUGAAAGUAGCAUCAAAGGCUCUGAGGCAGAGAGGUUGGAUGUGUGGGGAGAUAGGCUCUCUGGCAUAGAACUUGAUUGUCCAGAAUAAGCGCAUAAACCACACAAAAUGUUUAGAAUCCAGGGCUACACCUUAGAUCUGGUGGGUUCUGAGAAAACUGGCAAAGCAGAGGCAGGGCAAGAACCUGUGGCAUCUAGUGGAGCCUUCAUUCAGGGUCACCCCAUAGGGUUGGGCAGGUUGCGCACUGCACCUCAAGUUGAACAAAGAGGACUGGGGGCCUUUUUCUAGUUUACACAAAGGCACUAUCUAUUUGUUAAACUGAGCACUCCUGAGGCUGUGUCUGCCCAGAGGAAGGACCUUUUCUAAUUCGUACCAAGUCUCCAUAUGUACCUGGGGGACCCUGAAGAAAUUUGGGGUGCUGCUCUAUAGCACAGAGCCUGAUGCACCGCCACCUCAGGACAGGGCUCCGAGCUCAAUGACAGGACUGAAGCUGAGCUUCAGUCCAGGAUUUAGAGCUCUGGCUCCCCAGCUCCCUGUACCAGCCAGUGCUCCAGGGAGGAAGAAGAGGGAGGGCAACGAGGCCAGCCUGCAGCAGGACCAGGGUUCAGCUUCCUCAUUCCGUCCCCAGUGAGGAGACGCUCACCCAGCCCCUGGGAGCAGGAAGUGAGAGAAAAGGCCACACCUGGGCACAAGACCCUUUAUUGCACAAGAGCCCCACCCCCCUCAUAAAAGUGUCUGAAACAGCGUCCUGGAUCCUGACCAAACAGAUUACAGCAGCGACCUGGGGGGAAGCCAGCAGAGGGGUGGAGACUUUCUCUCCCCUACAGAACACGGAACCAAUCUCAGCUAAUCCUCACAAUGUCCCUGUUCACGGGUAAGGAAACUGAACCAGAGCUAAAGAAAGAUAAGGAAUUGGGUCAAGGUCACAUAACUAGUAAGUUGCAGAAGUGGACUUUGAACUUGAAGUGGACGCUGUGGCCUCUGUCCAGGUUCCCCUUCAGGGCUGAUGACAGCUCACAGCCAGUCCCUCAGGAAUAGCCCUGCCUGAAGGGAGCCACCCCAUGUCCAACACUGGCCCCUUCCUGGGGCGGCCCCCAUCCAACUCAGCCGUGCUGGGGUGGGGGUGGGGUACAAAAAUCAAAUCCCUUGCCUCAAUUUGGGACAAUUCCGAAGGGCCAUCCUGGCUUCAGAGUUUUUGUUGCAACUGUUGCAUGUCAACAUAUCCCUCUGCUUCCCUCACUUCUAAGAGCUGCUGCUGAGGGGCAUGCUCCCCAAUAAACUCUCUGCUUGCAAAUCUCCUUCUUAGCAUUGGCUUUGGGGACAUCCCACCUAAGACCCCUGCGUUCCCCACCUUUAUGAAACACUGCCUCCCACCUCAAGCUUGCCAGGAUAGAAGAAUCCAGAAUUCCGCUAGGGAGGGUGAGGCAAACCAGCAAUGAGCAACAGCAGGAAGCCACCAUCACCCCCUAGACUAGGACAGAAGAUGGGACAGUGUUACCCGAGCCCAGGGGUCAUCCAGCAGAAGCUGGGAGCACAGUAGGUCACAGCAGGUCUGUCUGGGAGAAACAGAAACCCCCUACUGGAGACAUCCUUGAGGUUUGGGAGCAUAAGACCCUGGCUCCUCCCUUCUCCCUCCUUCAGUUUUAUGACUAUAGACUACUUAUAAGCACAGAGAGUGAAUACCCAGGGUUAACUCUGCACCUAUUUAGGUAAUAUUAAAAACUGAGAAUGUUAAGUCAGUUUCAGGUCCCUUCUGAAAGGGAAACAUUGCUGUGGAACCAGAGCAUCAUCAGCCUCAGCCCCGGCCCUGCACAGCCUGAAUGUCCAGACUUUCUAUCCCUCCUGGAUCUUUGAUCCCUCCUGGAUUGGGGGUGGGUAGCCCAAAACAGCCUGGAGAGCCAGGGGACUUUACAGCCAGAGGGUCCAUCCUAUGGAGGGGCCCCUAACUUUAGGAGUCCGUCACUCCAGGGCAUUAAAGUCACCUCGGGGCUGUGAAUGUCAGUCCAGAAGAGUGUGUGCAUAUGUACGGUGUCUCUCUCUGUGGUUCACAGACAGGCGGUGUGUGCACAUCUUUUCCAAUGGAGAGGAGUCUUUGGCAUCGGUAAUAGAUGGAAUGUGAAUAUUGUAUUGUGUGGAGGGACAGCUCCUCUGGCCUGUCCCCAGGGAAGGAAGACAAGAUCCAGUGGAGAGGUGAGGACCAGGGAGCCCAGCCCAGCUCCUGGCUCCAAGGAGGCCGGCCCCGCCCUGGAGACAAGCUGCCAUCUGUUUGUUUUCCAGUGGGCUGGAGACCUGGGCUGAAGGCACAUCUGCUUCUGUUUAUUCUUCCUCCUUAUCUUAAUGGGCCCCCACCCAUCACUCCCUGUUACUCCUUGCCACCCACCUCACCACCGCUGGGACACUCUCUUGCUGCCCCAGGCAAAGACUCGGGGGGGGGGGGGGGGGAGGACAAGCUGGAGACUUGGUGUCCUGGGUUAAGCGUCCUCACUAAACACCACCCCCCCACACACAAGUUCAACUGGACUCUAUGGUCAAAGUGGAAAAGGACAAAAGGAGUAAAAGGCCAAAGACUCUCCUCCCGAGAAGGAAAGCAGGAAACUGGUAGGUUGCCAGGGGCAACCUUAGCUCUAAGAGAAAUGUAAUUACAUUGAAAUUUCAGGUUACACCUAGGCUAAUAACUACAACUGGAAAUUCCUGUGGGGAGGAGGAAGUUUUCUCUCGUUAAGAGAUAAUAGAGAGUUACUCGCCCUUGAACCCAGAACAGUCAGUUUCGUACAGGAAGAACUUCAGUCACAGAGGGCCCCUGCUAGCCAAUAAGGCACCUUUGUGCAGAUUAGAGAAAGGGGCCCCUUCCUCCAGGCGGCUGCCCUCUCACUUCCCAGCACCCUGGGACAGGAGAAAAGGGACAGUUACAUAAUCCUAGCAGCUCUCCCUUCCUCCCUCCCUUUGCUCUCCCUUUCAAUAACCUGGACAGCCUGAGCUCUGAAUAGACCACCCCAGGAGCAGAGAAAACCACCGGUAGCUGUGAGGGAAGCUCGAAAGGCUUUGAACACUAAACUGGUCCAAAGUCCCUGCUCUAUUUCAUUCCAUGAUAAGGCUUUGAGUUGAGUUGUAAGAAAGCUUUCUAAUCAUGUUCCAGGCCUGACCCGGGUUAUGCUAAGUUGUGAUUAUUGGCAAUUUAGAAAUCAUGAGAAAGGUACCAGAUUUCUCAAGGAUUUCCUUUUUUUUUUAUUUUAAUUUUUAAUGUAAUUUUUUAUUUCAGAGAGAGAGAGAG